AUUGAACGCUGGCGGCAUGCCUUACACAUGCAAGUCGAACGGUAACGCGGGGGCAACCCUGGCGACGAGUGGCGAACGGGUGAGUAAUACAUCGGAACGUACCCAGUAGUGGGGGAUAGCUCGGCGAAAGCCGGAUUAAUACCGCAUACGACCUAUGGGUGAAAGCGGGGGAUCGCAAGACCUCGCGCUAUUGGAGCGGCCGAUGUCGGAUUAGCUAGUUGGUGAGGUAAAAGCUCACCAAGGCUACGAUCCGUAGCUGGUCUGAGAGGACGACCAGCCACACUGGAACUGAGACACGGCCCAGACUCCUACGGGAGGCAGCAGUGGGGAAUUUUGGACAAUGGGCGAAAGCCUGAUCCAGCCAUGCCGCGUGUGUGAAGAAGGCCUGG
rnacentral:rRNA from 1 species